AGUCCUGAGGAACAGUGUGCUGGACUGUUGCUCCCUGGGAACUCUCUGGAAGUGCAAAGUGUGUUCCUAGCAUUUAGGAGUGGUGAAACACAUAAGUCCUAAGACGAAGCCGUGUUGGCCAGAGGACACACCAUUAUCAGUUGACAGCCUUGAAAGUCCUUGGCAAGGUUAAACAGAAUUGGGGACCUCCGCGAAGAAAUACUGUCAAAAGUGAGUCCAAGAUAGCAGUGACCAGUGAGCACCUUAACUGAGAGGCACAUGAUCCGAAACUCUGAAAUUGAUGACAAACAGUGGACACCACUGAGCUGGUGGAUCUCCUACACUCUCAUUUGGCCCUGCAGGCCCAAAUCUGUGAGUAGAGAAUAUGGGGAACCCUGUGCUUUCUGAUUAGGCCUGGUGGUGAGUGAGUGCACCUUCAAGUGAGCAACAAGACAUCAGGUCCCUCCCACCGACACCCACACUGUGGGCAACAUAGGGAUCCUUGGGACAGUGCUCUCAACAUUGAAGCCCCUGUUCUGAGGAGUCCAAGCAAACAAUUGCUGGAGCCCAGACAGAUCUGAAAACCAGGAGGACAGUACAACAGGCCUCUGGGCCACUGAUAUAUUCAGGGCACCUGUGCAUAAGCCUUGCUCCCAGGAAUAGUGCCACCACCACACCCCCCUCCUGCACUUAUGCAUCACAGUCCAGGUACCUACAUGCUCUAGCACCCUGUCCUUAAAGGCACACUUCCAUGCACAGGACUGUACAUGCUCGUCUACACUUGUGCACCUGCAAUCUUCCUCCCUUAAUUACAGCUGAAACACCAACAUCCACUCUUGAACCAGUGGACCUCUCUCAUCUUCCUGAAGAAUACUACAGACACCAGAGAUAGAUGGACCCAGUCUGAAGUACAGAUUCCAGGCACAAUUACGGAAUGUUAUGGAUAAGCAGAUGGCUAGAGGUAGGCAUAAGAACACAUCCAAUGAAGAUCAGGACAUCAUGACUUCACCAGCAACCCCAAAAAUUAGUGGACAUGAUAAUUCAUUGGAAACACAGGAAAAUGAUCUAUUCUAGGAUUAUCCAGAUAUUAGAUGCACAUAAAGAGGAAAUGAAAAAAGCUCUCAAAGAAAUUCAGGUAAAUACAGCCAAACAAAUAAAUAGAGGAGCAGGUAGUGGCACGAGCAGAGGCAUAUAGGGAGGAAAUGAACAAAGCUCUCAAAUAAACACGGGCAAAUACAGUCAAAAAAAGUGAGGCACAAGUAGAGGCACAAUUAGUGGACUAUAGAGAGGAAACAAACAAACAAACAAAAAAAUAGAGGCGAUCAUGGAAAGAUGGGAAUCCACAUUCAAACAGAUGAAGGUUAUGGUGAGAGGAAUUAGAAUCAAUUAAAAAAACACAAACAGAGAAAAACCCUGGAGCUAGAGAACUUAGAGAAAAGAUCAGGAACCACAAAGGUUAGCAUUACCAACAGCACACAAGAGAUGGAAGAGAGAAUCUCAGGCACUGAAAAUACACUCGCAGAAAUUGAUACAUCUCUCAAAGAAAAAGUAAAAUCAGAAAAAUUUCCGAACACAAAACAUCCGAGAAAUCAAGGAUGCCAUGAAAAGAUGAAAUCUAAGAAUAAAAGGAAUAGAAGAAAAAGGAGAUUCCAGGUUCCAAGGUCCACAAAAUAUUUUCAAUAAAAUCAGAAGAAGAAUUUCCCAACUUAAAGAAAGAUGUGUUCACAAACAUACAAGAGGCAAGAGGCUUACAGAACACCAAAUAGACUAGACCAGAAAAAAAACUCCUCACUUCACAUAAUAAUCAAAAUACUAAAUCUACAGAACAAAGAAAAGAUUAAAAGAAGCAAGGGAAAAAGGCCAAAUAACAUAUAAAGGUAGACUUAUCAGAAUCACACCAGAUUUCUUAACAGAAACUAUGAAAGCCAGAAGGGCCUGGUCAUGCAGACUUUAAGAGACCACAGAUGCCAGCCCAGACUAUUAUACUAUAUAUCAACAUAGAUGGAGAAAACAAAAUCUUCCAUGACAAAACUAAACUUAAUCAUUUUUGUCCUCUAUGGUUAUAGCAGAUUUAGGAAAAUGAGUGUCUAGGAGAGAAAUUAGUGACAUUAAUAUUUAAAUAAAAGAAAAGAUAAAUGUACGAGUGUUUAAAUGGCAUUUUCUAUAUAUUUAUGAGUAGUAUAUUGAUUUGUGUCUAACAUUUGUAGGAAUGUUUGUGGUUUUGUUGACAAUGCUAUAUUGACAAAUAUGUGUGUGUAUAAAAUAAUUUAUUUGCUUUGCUUUCUUGUUAUUCACUUAUAUAGUAUGUAGAUUUCCUAAAUUUUGAGUAUGCUUGCUACAGUUUAAAAAAAAAAGAAAAAAUGGGUGAAAGAACAGAUGAGUUAGUUUACUAGCCUGUGAGUAUUCCAUAUCAUACAUUCAUCAUUUAGUUAUUCAUGAUUAUACUAUUAUAUUUACUUUUUAAUUAUGCCACAGCUAAAAAAAAAGACAAAUGUUUAAUGACUACACUAUAUUAUUUAGGUGUAGAGUCCUUUUAGCUAUUACUUUAAUAUUGAAGACUUAGUUCAUUUCUAGUAUUAUUAGAUAUUAGGUUUGAUUGAUGGACACCUUUUCUUCUUAAGUAAGUUUUGUUCUCUAUUUUAGGUUUUACUGUUUUUGUUUUUGUUUUUUUUAGUUCCUUGAAGUAUGAUAUGAAAGGGAAGCUAAAAGCUUUGUAUUUUUCCCAAGUUCUUACCAAGUUUCUGAAAAAAAAAAUUAUGUCAUGUCACCAUUUUGAUUCUGUUAGUUGUGGUGUCGUACUAAACUACAGUAUUCUCACAUUUAUUCUGUUUUAUGGUGCCUUAUUAUUAUUUUUUUUUAGAGACGGAAAAUACACAGGAAAUUUGGUAGGUAGGAAGGAGAGGGAGAUCUUAGAGAAGUUGGGGGAGGAGGAAAAAUACCAUAAAAUAUAUUGUCUUAUUUUUUUUUUUCCUUGUCAAAGUCCGGUUUAUUAUGGGGCAAAGCUUUACUUUUAAGCUCAAAGAAUAAGGAAGUAAAAAAUUGGAGGGAGAAGGGUGGGAGGCUAUCUCGUGAUUCAUUAAUGUUUUAACAUUAACUGUUAAAACCGGUCAGGUGGGGGAAUCAGGUGGGGGGAUCAGGUAGUGGAAUCAGGUGGGGGGAUCAGGUGGGGAGUGGUUCCCGGUCUCAGGAAGCAAUAUAUCCAGGUGGUCAAAGCUAAUUGCAGCCUCCGUCAUGACUACGUGCCUGGGAUUCUUGGUCUCUGGCAUCUCCCCCUUUUUUGUAAUAAAGAAAAAUGGGUGAAGUAUCUGUCUUAGGCUAUAUGAGGAGCAUCCAAGCCCAGCACCGUAAUCUGAGGUGAUCCGCCUGUCCUAGGCUAUGUGAGUUGGCUCCGCACUUGGAUUCACAAUAAUCCUGUCAUCGGCUGUGGUCACAGCUAUUGUGAGGUGACCAGCCUGUCUUAGGCUAUGUGAAUUGCCUCUAAGAUGUGGACUCACAAUACUCCCGUCGCUGGCUGCGAUCACAGCUUUCAGGUGUGCCCCUGGGCUUGGCAUCAUAAUAUUCCCGUCACUGAUAGCUCCUCAGCCAUUUAAAAUAUUUAUGGGGGCGAGACUCUCUGGCUAGCUGGGUGAAGUCAAAUGCUGUUGAGGUAUCUUCCUCGGGCACAUCAGGGGACUCCUGACUGCUAUAGGUAACAGCCAGCUGGUGGUAAUGAAUUAACGAAGAGCCUUUGUUAAGUGUUUCCACCUGUUCUUUAACAAAGGAAGUUAGUCUUUUAAAUGCCCAAGGUCCAAAGGAGAGGAGAAGGAGAAGACCCACGAAAGGACUGAGGAUAGAAGGAAGAAGGGUGGAUAAUAAAGGAGAAGUGGAAAGUCUUAAUUUUAAGAAAUAAAAAUAUAAUAAAUAGUCCUGAAAACAAGAACAUAGUUGAAGUUUAAAGUAUAACUCCAUUGAGAGAAAUCUAAAAUUGUGCUUUGCUUAAACUCAGCCUUUGUUUUAUGAAAUACAGAUUGCGAAAUGCAGCCUGUCUUUUGAAAGAUCUGUUCAGUAAGAAUAUUAUUUAAUAGUUGCUUUUGUGUGAAGCUAUUAACUUUAUAUUUCAACACAGAACAUUAUGUGAUUAAACCUUUCUGAUUGCUACA